rnacentral:rRNA from 1 species
UCCCUUCGGGGGGGGUGCAGUGGGGAAUAUUGGACAAUGGGCGAAAGCCUGAUCCAGCCAUGCCGCGUGUGUGAAGAAGGUCUUCGGAUUGUAAAGCACUUUAAGUUGGGAGGAAGGGCAGUAAGUUAAUACCUUGCUGUUUUGACGUUACCGACAGAAUAAGCACCGGCUAACUUCGUGCCAGCAGCCGCGGUAAUACGAAGGGUGCAAGCGUUAAUCGGAAUUACUGGGCGUAAAGCGCGCGUAGGUGGUUCGUUAAGUUGGAUGUGAAAGCCCCGGGCUCAACCUGGGAACUGCAUCCAAAACUGGCGAGCUAGAGUAUGGCAGAGGGUGGUGGAAUUUCCUGUGUAGCGGUUAAAUUUUAUAUAUAGGAAGGAACACCAGUGGCGAAGGCGACCACCUGGGCUAAUACUGACAUUGAAGUUUAAAACGCUUA